AUUCACAUACAUUUGCUUAUGUAUCAUUUUCAUCAGAAUACAUGUUAACACAAGAAUUAAGUACACACAACAGUGAAAAAAUAUCUAAUUAUACACAGUGUUAGUGUCUACAAAUAGAAAAAAUGAAGUUUCCCUGCAAAUUAUAAUAAAAAACAAAAAUGACAGGUGUAUCUUUUAGUCACGUGGUAAAAAGGUCCACCACUUUCUCUUCCAACUCGCGGCGCCGCUCCAAAUCCAUUCACUGUACUGUGUCGGUACACCAUGCAAUUUGCAGCUGUACGAGUGCGAACGACAGUUUUUGGGCGGAGAAUCUGGGGUGCGAGAAGUUGCCAGUUUUCUGGAGUCGAUUCCACUGUGUUUGGAAGGUCCAUAGCCAAAACGGUCAAUAUGAAUGCUGAAGGAAAACCUCGAGUCUACGUUACUCGGAGAAUCCCCCAAGAAGGCCUUGAUUUACUAUCAAAAGAAUGUGAGGUAUCAAUUUGGGACUCUGACGAUGCCGUCCCUCAGGAGGUACUGCUCCAGAAUGUACCAGGCAUCAGCGGUCUCUAUUGUCUUAUAUCAGAUCGUAUCAGUGCCGAGGUGAUGGAUGCUGCUGGGCCGAGUUUGAAAGUCAUCAGCACCCUGUCUGUAGGUUAUGAUCACAUCAACGUUGAUGAAUGCAGGAAGAGAGGGAUCCGUAUAGGUUACACGCCAGGUACUCUAACCGAUGCUACUGCAGAGCUUACUGUAGGCCUUCUAUUAACAACAUCAAGGAGACUCUCUGAAGGUAUCGCCAAUGUGAAAAACGGAGGUUGGGGCACUUGGAAGCCGAUGUGGCUGACAGGACCAGGUCUUCUUAACAGCACAGUGGGUCUAGUUGGACUAGGGCGGAUAGGUAUGGCCAUCGCUCAACGCCUCAAGCCAUUUGGGGUCAAGAGAUUCCUCUACUCUGGAAACACCAAGAAACCUGAAGCAGAUAGUCUACCAGCUGAAUUCGUUCCCUUUGAGACACUCGUCAAAGAAUCUGGUUUUGUGGUGGUCAGUUGCUCCCUCAAUGCUCAAACCAAAGGUCUUUUUAACAAACAAGUCUUUGAGAUGAUGAGCUCCAAUGCCAUCUUUGUUAAUAUAAGCAGAGGAGCUGUAGUAAAUCAAGAUGACCUUUACGAGGCCUUGACCACUGGUCAGAUCAGAGCAGCUGGUCUGGAUGUGACCACACCUGAACCUUUGCCCACUGACCAUCCACUUCUCAAACUGGAUAACUGUGUGUUGCUGUUGAAUGUCUGUGGUCUAUAUUAUGGUUGUUCCAGUUUAUAUGUUUGUCAUUCUGCCUCCGAAGAAGAUUCUGCUAGGAUCGAAAGCUUAGGCCUCUCUUGACUCUCUAUUUUGAAAUGUGACUUAAAAGGGACAAUGGUUUGACUUCUCAGCCUAUGAACCUUUGGAAAAGGAAUUAAAAGAUAGGUUGUUUUCCCCCACAUUGGCAGUGCUGUUGAGGAGACAAGGAUAGCCAUGUCCAUCCUUACUUCCAGGAACUUGUUAGCAGGUCUCAUGA